rnacentral:rRNA from 1 species
AGAGUUUGAUUCUGGCUCAGAACGAACGCUGGCGGCGUGGAUAAGACAUGCAAGUCGAACGAUGAUUAGUGAGUAGCAAUAUUCUCUAGUCAUAGUGGCGAAAGGGUGAGUAACACGUGGGUAAUUUGCCGUAAAGUUUGGAAUAACUCGUUGAAAGGCGAGCUAAUACCGGAUGUGAAUAUUGUAUGGCAUCAUGCAAUAUUUAAAGCUGGGGACCUUCGGGCCUGGCGCUUUACGAUAAGCCCGCGGCCUAUCAGCUAGUUGGUGAGGUAAUAGCUCACCAAGGCUAAGACGGGUAGCUGGUUUGAGAGGACGAUCAGCCACACUGGAACUGAGACACGGUCCAGACACCUACGGGUGGCAGCAGUCGAGAAUCUUUCACAAUGGGCGAAAGCCUGAUGGAGCGACGCCGCGUGGGGGAUGAAGGCCUUCGGGUCGUAAACCCCUGUCAUUCGUUAACAAACCUUUUCAGUGAAUAACUGAAAAGCUGAUAGUCGCGAAAGAGGAAGGGACGGCUAACUCUGUGCCAGCAGCCGCGGUAAUACAGAGGUCCCAAGCGUUGUUCGGAUUCACUGGGCGUAAAGGGUGCGUAGGCGGUAGGGUAAGUUUGAUGUGAAAUCUCCAAGCUCAACUUGGAAACUGCAUUGAAUACUGCCUUGCUAGAGGAUCGGAGGGGAGACUGGAAUUCUCGGUGUAGCAGUGAAAUGCGUAGAUAUCGAGAGGAACACCAGUGGCGUAGGCGAGUCUCUGGACGAUUCCUGACGCUGAGGCACGAAAGCUAGGGGAGCAAACAGGAUUAGAUACCCUGGUAGUCCUAGCUGUAAACGGUGCACAUUUGCUGUGGGCGGAUUCGACCCCGUCCGUGGCGUAGCUAACGCGUUAAAUGUGCCGCCUGGGGAGUACGGUCGCAAGAUUAAAACUCAAAGAAAUUGACGGGGGCCUGCACAAGCGGUGGAGUAUGUGGCUUAAUUCGAUUCAACGCGAAGAACCUUACCUGGGUUUGACAUGCAAGUGGUAGAAGCCUGAAAGGGUAACGACCCCGCAAGGGGAGCUUGCACAGGUGCUGCAUGGCUGUCGUCAGCUCGUGUCGUGAGAUGUUGGGUUAAGUCCCGCAACGAGCGCAACCCUCGUGUUCUGUUGCCACUCCCGCUAGCGCGGGAAGCACUCUGAACAUACUGCCUCAUUUAAAUGAGGAGGAAGGUGGGGAUGACGUCAAGUCAGUAUGGCCCUUACGCCCAGGGCUGCACACGUACUACAAUGCCUAAUACAAUGGGAAGCAAGACCGCAAGGUGGAGCAAAUCCUCAAAAUUGGGCCCAGUUCAGAUUGUCGGCUGCAACUCGCCGGCAUGAAGGUGGAAUCGCUAGUAAUGGCGCAUCAGCUACGGCGCCGUGAAUACGUUCCCAGGCCUUGUACACACCGCCCGUCACAUCAUGAAAGCCGGCUGUACCCGUAGUCUAUGAGCUAACCCGCAAGGGAGGCAGUGGCCGAAGGUAUGGCUGGUGAUUGGGAUGAAGUCGUAACAAGGUA